rnacentral:rRNA from 1 species
GACGAACGCUGGCGGCGUGCCUAACACAUGCAGGUCGAACGGGGUGUUCCUUCGGGGACACUUAGUGGCGAACGGGAGAGUAACGCGUGAGAAACCUGCAUUUCAGUGGGGGACAACAGUUGGAAACGACUGCUAAUACCGCAUAAUGUCAUUUGGUGGCAUCCCCGGCUAACCAAAGCUUUAUGUGCUGAAAGAUGGUCUCGCGUCUGAUUAGCUAGAUGGCGGGGUAACGGCCCACCAUGGCGACGAUCAGUAGCCGGUCUGAGAGGAUGAACGGCCACAUUGGGACUGAGAUACGGCCCAGACUCCUACGGGAGGCAGCAGUGGGGAAUAUUGGGCAAUGGGGGAAACCCUGACCCAGCAACGCCGCGUGAAGGAAGAAGGCCUUCGGGUUGUAAACUUCUUUUACCAGGGACGAACACAAUGACGGUACCUGGAGAAAAAGCAACGGCUAACUACGUGCCAGCAGCCGCAGUAAAAC